UACGUAGGUGGCAAGCGUUGUCCGGAUUUACUGGGCGUAAAGAGCGCGCAGGCGGUCGUUCAAGUCGCGUGUGAAAGCCCCCGGCUCAACUGGGGAGGGUCACGCGAUACUGAUCGACUCGAAGGCAGGAGAGGGAAGUGGAAUUCCCGGUGUAGUGGUGAAAUGCGUAGAUAUCGGGAGGAACACCAGUGGCGAAGGCGACUUCCUGGCCUGUUCUUGACGCUGAGGCGCGAAAGCUAGGGGAGCGAACGGG
rnacentral:rRNA from 1 species